GCCGGGCGUGGUGGCGGGCGCCUGUAAUCCCAGCUACUGGGGAGGCUGUGGCUGGAGAAUGGCGUGAACCCAGGAGGCCGAGGUUGCAGUGAGCUGAAAUCACGCCACUGCACUCCAGCCUGGGUGACACAGCGAGAUUCUGUCUUUU
rnacentral:sRNA from 1 species